GACGAACGCUGGCGGCGUGCUUAACACAUGCAAGUCGAACGAAGAGCGAUGGAAGCUUGCUUCUAUCAAUCUUAGUGGCGAACGGGUGAGUAACGCGUAAUCAACCUGCCCUUCAGAGGGGGACAACAGUUGGAAACGACUGCUAAUACCGCAUACGAUCUGACCUCGGCAUCGAGGUUAGAUGAAAGGUGGCCUCUACAUGUAAGCUAUCACUGAAGGAGGGGAUUGCGUCUGAUUAGCUAGUUGGAGGGGUAACGGCCCACCAAGGCGAUGAUCAGUAGCCGGUCUGAGAGGAUGAACGGCCACAUUGGGACUGAGACACGGCCCAGACUCCUACGGGAGGCAGCAGUGGGGAAUCUUCCGCAAUAGACGAAAGUCUGACGGAGCAACGCCGCGUGAGUGAUGACGGCCUUCGGGUUGUAAAGCUCUGUUAAUCGGGACGAAAGGCCUUUUUGCGAAUAGUGAGAAGGAUUGACGGUACCGGAAUAGAAAGCCACGGCUAACUACGUG
rnacentral:rRNA from 1 species